CCCACCCUGUGUCGUUAUACCUUCGUUGCUUUGGCGGGCCGCGGGGCCCCGGCCCCGCCCCUGGCUCCGGCUAGGGCGCGCCCGCCAGAGGACCUCAAAACCUGAAUGUUAGUGUCGUCUGAGUACUAUAUAAUAGUUAAAACUUUCAACAACGGAUCUCUUGGUUCUGGCAUCGAUGAAGAACGCAGCGAAAUGCGAUAAGUAAUGUGAAUUGCAGAAUUCAGUGAAUCAUCGAAUCUUUGAACGCACAUUGCGCCCCUUGGUAUUCCGGGGGGCAUGCCUGUUCGAGCGUCAUUACAACCCUCAAGCUCUGCUUGGUCUUGGGCGUCACCGGUCCCGGUGUGCCUUAAAAUCAGUGGCGGCGCCAUCUGGCUCUAAGCGUAGUACAUACUCUCGCUACAGACGUCCGGUGGAUGCUGGCCAGCAACCCCCAACUUAUCAAGGUUGACCUCGGAUCAGGUAGGGAUACCCGCUGAACUUAAGCAUAUCAAUAA
rnacentral:rRNA from 1 species